UUUAGAGAGGAGUGGUAAUCAGUUUGUUCUCUUCUGGUGGAGAACCUCUCAAGAUGAUCUCAAAUGAGCUACAUCAUUGCUUAUGCAUCCUACAGAGAUAAUCACCAAAGAGUGAAUUUUGGCUGAUAGACACUGAUGCCUGGAAGACCAAUCAAAAUGAAGAGCCAGAGUCAAGAUCCUGAUUCCCUUCCUGCCAUCACGUCCAAAGUAGCCUUUUUCAUGCAUCCAGCCUAG
rnacentral:lncRNA from 1 species